rnacentral:lncRNA from 1 species
CCAACAUUCUGUGUAAAAAUGGAGACGUGUCAUGAAUGACGUCACACAAAGGGACCCUUGUGGUCAAGUGAGGGGCGACCGCAUAAAGACCUGGUUACGCCCGGAGCAAGGUGACAUUAGGUGAGCCGAGGGGAACACGAGCAGGAGAUUCUAUCUGUCCUAUCUGAGGCACCACCUGCCUCGCCUCUUGCCCCAGGCGCCAUUUUCAUCGCCAUAAGGGUGACGUCCCCCCCAUGACACGUUUACCAAAUUAAACCCGCUAUAAGAGCGGGUUCAAAGGCGGAGUUCAAAGGCGGAUUUCAAAGACUGAGUUGAAGACUGAGUCCUAAGGAUGAGUUUGGAGACUGAAUUCAAAGGCUGAGUUAAAGGCCGGAACUCCAGACCGGAUGCUCAGGUCAUGAUUGCUCAAGACUAACACGUCACGAUCGACUCUCAACGAAGAAGAAAGAAGAAUGAAUACAGAAAUCUUCCGAGAGUGUCAGAGUGAUUGCUAUUAGAGAUAUG